rnacentral:tRNA from 1 species
AGAUCUGUAAGCUCAAAAUUGGGAAGAGCGCUCGGGUCAUCCAUCACCUGAGAGGUUGGUGGUUCGAAUCCACCCAGAUCUG